CGCACGACCGAGCCUCCCAAUCCCAUCUCCCCACUCCAGCGCUCCGCCACCUCCCGCCCCGCCUCGCCGCACGCCGCCGGCCCGACCCGGUCGCCACACACAGCCGCCCCCCGUCGCCGUCCUCUGCCGGACCGGCCCCCGCCGCCGCGCUCCGCCGGACGGCUCCCCGCCGUCGCGCUCCGCCACCGCCUACCGUCGUCGUUCUCCUCCACCACCUACCCUGUCGGCGCGCCUACCCCCACCCAAGCGCCCCCACACCCGCGGCCUUCCACCACCAGCGACCCAACGACGGCCUUCCACCGCCAGCAACUCUCGACGCUGCGGUGAUGGAUCCCCCGUCCUUGCUACCAUGGCGCCGUCAGGACUCCUCCCCGCUGCUUCCACAUCGACAAUGGUUUCCUCAACCCCACCGGCUUCACCACCAGCCACUCCUUCCCGGCGCACUCGGCCCGCCGUCGGACCCAUCCGCUUGGCUCCCGCGGCGAGAGAUCUGAUCGACAGAGAGGCCAAGGGGGAGUGUUGGCGCAGAGGUCAGGCGUCACAGGCAAACAAGUCGCUCGCUAGAGGUGGUCUAUGGUGUCGACACUCUCCGAUGGACAGAGCCGACGUGUGCGCUGGACAGAGUCGUCAUACACACAUCUAAUCCCACUGAUGAACCUGGCUGUGGGUUAGCUUCUGUCGGGAAGGUGACAAAGGAGAGAGAAAAGAAGCUUGUGGGGGCGGCCUGAUGGACAGGAAAUGAGAGGGUGACGCUGGCCUGAAGAUGAAGAAGGGACGAGAGCAUGGCCACGGUGCAAAUUCCUCUAUAUCUUUCCAUGGUUGUUUUAGAGCAUGGCCAUGGUGCAAAAUCAGCUGUCUCCCUGGUCGAAGUAGAUGCUUGGGGUGAGGCCAACUUAUGAAUUGACCGAGACGUCUUUACCUUGCAUUGCAAUGUCUUAAUCUUGCAUCUUUUGUCAAGCUUGCAUUAGAGCAAAUUCAUACUAUGAUGGGGGGAUUAUGAAUCAGUUGACACCCACGAAUUAAUGUGAUACAUCUAUGGGCCUGGCGCCAGAAUUUAGCACUGGAAUUUAUCGUUCCUUGAUGGCAUCUGCAACUCACCACAACUGUGUUAAGCAGUACCUGAGGUGCUCGGAUUUUACUUGCCUGCUAUAAGAAGGAAGGGUUCUCGGCCGGAAUCUCCAUCGGGUUGCUUCUUUGGACCAUAAUCUCCAUCAAAUCCCGACGAAAAUUCCGUGAAACGUACAAUGUCGCCGUCGAUUUCGCCGGAGGAAGAAGCGCCGAGUUCGCCGGAGGAACAAAACAUCUGUCGAGCCGUCCAAUGUCGCCCUCGACGGCUACAACAGAUGUAUGUAUCCCCUUGAAAGCAGCAAGCAGCAGUCUUCUGUUAUGUGUGUUCUGUGUGUUCUCUGUAUAGAUGUGUAGUAGUAAUCAAGCAGCAAAUUGAACAAAAUCGCAGCAGCAGGCUGCUGCUCUCCUCCCUGAUCUCCCUCUAUAUGAAGUAGCAUUAUAGCACAACAUCAUAAUUAGCAACGGCAGAGCAACCUCUGAAAAAUAGUUGGGAUAAUUAAAAAGAUUCUAAUGCGUUUAUCUUGGCAUAUCAGAACACCUCCCUGAUCUCCCUCUAUAUGAAGUAGCAGUAUAGCACAACAUCAUAAUUAGCAACGGCAGAGCAACCUCUGAAAAAUAGUUGGGAUAAUUAAAAAGAUUCUAAUGCGUUUAUUUUGGCAUAUCAGAACAUUUAGUAUGUAUAUCUGACUUCAGCACCAGGCACCAUGGUUACGCAUCUUGGUUUGAUACUGAUCAAGUAGUAUCAUGUUGAUCCCCUGUUUUAGUUAUUGUUUCUGUCCCCUGUCUCUCUGUCUGCUAUUCUGCUCUUUCUUAGCAGCAUGUUGAUUCUAAGAUUCCAAUAGUAUUUAGAAAGUAGCAAAUUUAUUUUUAUGCGAGAAUUUUAUUCUUAAGUUUCUGGCAGUAUUCAUAGUUAGUUUUCUCUGAUUUUGUGUGCUUUACAGGCAGUAAGCAUCCUUGGGUGUUCUUUACGUGCUUUGUCUCUAGGGGCCUCCUGAUGGACUCCUAUAAUACCACCAGGCCACAACUGCCAAGCAGUGCGUUUUACUGUAACCCAUAUAGCUGUCAUAGGUAGUUGUAUUGUUGAUCCAGCAACAUGCUUCUCUGUUUCUGCAUGCCAAGGCAGCUUGCUGCUGUUAAUUUUGUCAUUUUAUUUGAAUUGAUCUGAGAUAAGUCACUUGCUAAAAAAUAAUUGGUCAUGGUGCCACCUUCAUUUGAUGAGGUUCAGAGUUCACUGCUAUGAAAGAAGAAGGCAUAGAUUUGCCUCGUGGAAUUACCGGUAGAAUCGCAGUGAGAACGAGUAAAAAUCUACGACAAGCAAUACAUUAUUUUGAAGCUACAUGGAAAGCAAAGUUGUAUCUCGUUCGUGGGAAGAUCAGAAAUUGAUUGAGCAUGAUGUGUCACCUUAUUUCAUUGUGUGUAAGCUCUACUCUACCUAAUGGUUACCUGGUCUAUGUGAUCUCAAGAGCCCAGCCAAGAUCAUGCUUACAUAGUCUAUGUGAUUUUUCAAGUGUGGCAGCAAAUGAGCCUUCCAUUUGUGAUUUUUCAAGUUUGGGCAGAGUUAUGAACCCUUUGCCAGAGGUCUCAUCCCUAGAUUGAUGUAGGAUCAAGAUGAUGGCAUCAGGGUUCCCAUGACCAUGUUCACCACAUUUGAGCUCCUCAAGCACGCCCCCAAGCCCUCGUAAGCUUCUCAUAUCUUUGGUCCCUUUAGCUGUUGCAAAUUUGCCUUCAGUUUACAAUGCCAGAAGAACACUAACCCUGUCUACCAUCAAGUCAUUAUUGUUAUGGACACAAGAAAGUAUUGGUAUUUUCAUAGGUAGUAUCUGAGCAUUAUUGUCUUGUGACACUGGCCAAGCAUAAACUGACAUAGCGACAUCUUUCAGCAAUUUCCCAUAUAGUUCAAGUAGUGUGUUUGAACAUUGUAUUUUUUUAAAGGAACCGAGUCACACACAAAAGGGCCAGAUUUUCUGGCACAUAGUCCACGAUUUGUACAAAUAACCACCUGUAAUUCUUAAUUUAGUUGCUAUUGCAAAAGACGGUUGCUUUCGAACCUUCCAUCUCGAGAAACUAGAAUUAGUACGAAUGUGCUUUUCCCUGACUCCCACAUCAGGCUGUUGCUCUAAUGUUUCUUCCAGGUUGAGAAUGGCAAGAAGACGCUUAUUCUCCAUUGUACAAAGACUAGCAUAGUUUUGAACUCUGUGCUGUCAGAUCUUUUUCACCUGAAGCAUGAUCAUCUAUGAAGUACGCCAAGAAUUACGACAACAUCAGGCCAUUUGAGAGUGGGGGUUAAACUUCCCUGGAGUUCUUCUCCCUUAAAUCUUAUUGCAGCCUCUUUAUUCACAUCUCGUAUGUGUAGUUGGUGACAACGAGGAAUUGUUAUCCACUUGAGAAAAUAAAGGUUAAAUCGAUGAUGCUCUCAAAAGUAAAAUGAUUUUCUGACCUGGACAGCGACUUUGUGAGCACCAAUAUAGAACUUAUAAACCUUUCUCCACGUUUGUUAUCAUGAUCUUUUCAUUUUCCUUUUGUAUAUUAAACUUGAGAAUAUUAUUCUGCUUUAUUCAACCAUUACUUUUUUAUGUGUUUGCAGUAUGACUAUCUGGUUCUCACUCAAAGUAGAGGCCCAACAAACUUUUUGGAGUCGAAAACUACAAAUCCAUCUAUUCCUAGAAUGGAGCUGGUUGGAGUUGAGCCUACAAUUGAGCGGGUAGUUCGUUGGCACCGACAUCCAGCUGAAAGUUUAGAGGAGGGUUAGUAAAGCAAAUUUGUUCAUGAGGAAAUGUACCAGUAAAACAUUGAGUCAGAGUGCAAGUCAAAUGCUCUUAACAAAAAAAAUUGUCGCUUUUCUUUAAUUACAAUUCUUAUUAUUUUUAGUUGGUAUUGAUAUACAAAAGAAAAUCCUGUGGCUUUUUUUGCCCUCUCAUUGAUCAUUGUAUUUUCGAGUCAUAUCAGUCUAUGUAAAAGAAUUCAGUACCUUAAUGUUUUGUAUAUUUGGAAAUGUUUAAAGGCGUGGUGUU